rnacentral:lncRNA from 1 species
CUUUUUGGCACAACCUGUCUGGAAAACAGCUGAAAAAUAUUUAAGUCCAGUGCUUAAAUGGCUUAGAGGAUUAUUAGUGGGAUAAAGAGUUUUGGGGCUGUAGGUGGCUGAUUCAGUGACAAACGUGGUUGAUAGUGAGUUGGAAAUCCUGGUUGAUGUUGAGCAUGAAAGUCAUAUUACUGCCUCACAGGUCUUCUCUGGCCUGAUAUUCCCUGUGGUUUCUGGUUCCUUCCCUAGGUCCCUUUACAAGAAGUCUCACAAAUUUGAGAUGAUAAAAAUGUCUCUGAGGAACAUUUGAAUGUUGGUCACAAAUUCCAAAUGGAUUUUGUUCCGCUUUCUUGAGCUGUGAAUUUCACACAUUCCUUACUUGGUCCUGACCCCGCCAAACCUCCUGAUACAGAAAAAAGCAAUGAGAGACAAAUGGCUGAAUGAAGGAAGUAACAGAAACGACAGUGUUCUUUAAUACACAAAAGCAGUCUAGAAGUCUGGAUGAAGAGGUAGAGGAGGAGGAGAAAGGAAGAAGGAGGAGGAGGAAGAGGAAGACAGGCAAGAUGACAGAUAAGACCAAGAAAAACCUAUAAGUUAGAAAACAGAUCAUGGUAGGUAAUUGACCCAGGAAAAGUCUAAGCCAGAUGAGGAAUCCAUAAUUCAAUCCAAUAUACAGUAUAGAACACCUAAAAGCCACAAGAAUUGGGGACACCAAGUAUUUCUGGAAAGUGAUAUGAGGGGGAUGGGAGACAAAAACUGGAGGGUUGUCUGAAUGUCCAUUCAAAAAAUAUCCACUCCCAUCUCUUCCCUCAUGUCAACAGUGGACUGAAACUUUAUUAUUUGGAGAAGGCAAAACAAAUUUCUGAACUGAACAACACUAGGCACAAUUAAGAGCAGAUAAUACUGAAUGAAAACAAAGAGAUUAAAUAAAACUUUACAUACUGAAUGCUGAAACUCUCCA